GCACAAGCGGUGGAGCAUGUGGUUUAAUUCGACGCAGCGCGAAGAACCUUACCAGGGCUUGACAUCCCCUGACCGCGUAUGAAAGUACGUUUUCACCCUCGGGUGACAGGGAGACAGGUGGUGCAUGGUUGUCGUCAGCUCGUGUCGUGAGAUGUUGGGUUAAGUCCCGCAACGAGCGCAACCCCUACGUUUAGUUGCUAACGCGUGAAGGCGAGCACUCUAGACGAACUGCCGUUGACAAAACGGAGGAAGGUGGGGAUGACGUCAAAUCAUCAUGCCCCUUAUGUUCUGGGCUACACACGUGCUACAAUGGCCGGUACAGACGGACGCAAAGCCGCGAGGUGGAGCAAAUCCUAAAAAGCCGGUCUCAGUUCGGAUUGCAGGCUGCAAUUCGCCUGCAUGAAGUCGGAAUCGCUAGUAAUCGCAGGUCAGCAUACUGCGGUGAAUACGUUCCCGGGCCUU
rnacentral:rRNA from 1 species